GCCGCCCAAGCCCAGCCCGCGCCUCAGUGGUAAAACAGAGUUGUGGACGCAGACGCGCGGCUGACGACGCGCACGCGGUGCCCCAGAUGGGCCAGCUGGAGGGCCGGGGGCAGAAGGCCAGGGUCUGCCCGGGACAGUGGACGGCACCUUGGGCUCCCACGGGCACUCGCGCCCUGCUGCGCCUCCUCCCACCGGCCUCUCUAGAGGCCAGACCGAUGGGAUGCACCUGUGGCCGAGGUCGACGAUGAGUCUGCUAGGAAGCAGCGACAGCAAAGGCUCAGGAGCGGGGCUGGGGACGGGAGGGAGACGGCGGGUGCCCGUCGCGGGUUUAAGUUAGUUCAGACGCCUGGGAGUCCGCGCUCUCGGCCUUCGCUUACGACCCACUUGGAAUCCUCUUGGAGAAGGCAGAGUGCAGCGGCCUGGGCACCAGCCCCCACGCAGGGAACUCUGGGAGGGGCUGGAGCUGCCAGCUCAGCCUCAGCGCUCACAGCAGUUCCCAGCCGCGAACUCCCGGCCCUGUUCCCCCUGGGCCCUGCCUGCCAUGUUGGCACAGUCGCCGGGUCUCCCUCACUGCCUGCCACGCUGGCGCGGUCGCCGUGUCUCCUGGCAUCCCAGACGGAGCAGCUGGGUUCCAGGACAUUCCUUCACUUGCCCAAGGUCACAGCAGCUGCAGACCACCUGGGGACACAGCCUUGGAGCAUACCCUGGCUCUUGGUGGCCCCUAAGUCCUUACUACUGUGGGCAGAGGCAGGCCAGAAGGUCCAACUUGGCCCAGGUAAAGCAUAAGAAAGCAGCCAUGGGGCCAGUGCUGUGGUGUAGGGGGCAAAGCCGCUGCCUGCAGGGUCGGCAUCCCAUAUGGGCACCGGUUCAAGACCUCGCUGCUCCUCUUCCGAUCCAGCUCUCUGCAGUGGCCUGGGAAAGCAGUGGAGGAUGGCCCAAGUCCUUGGGCCCCUGCACCUGUGUGGGAGACCUGGAGGAAGCUCCUGGCUCCUGGCUCUGGAUCGGCGCAACUCCUGCCGUUGCGGCCAUCUGGGGAGUGAACCAGCGAUGGAAGACCCCUCUCUCUGUAA